rnacentral:misc_RNA from 1 species
GAUGAAGAACGCAGCGAAAUGCGAUAAGUAAUGUGAAUUGCAGAAUUCAGUGAAUCAUCGAAUCUUUGAACGCACAUUGCGCCCCUUGAUAUUCCGAGGGGCAUGCCUGUUCGAGCGUCAUUAUAACCCCUCAAGCUCAGCUUGGUGUUGGGGCCUGCUGCACUGGCAGCCCUUAAAAUCAGUGGCGGCGCCAUCUGGCUCUAAGCGUAGUAAUUCUUCUCGCUAUGGAGUCCUGGUGGAUGCUUGCCAUCAACCCCCAAUUUUUCUAUGGUUGACCUCGGAUCAGGUAGGGAUACCCGCUGAACUUAAGCAUAUCAAUAAGCGGAGGA